GCACUCUGGGUAAAGCCAGCUGCCAUGUCAUAAGGAGAUCAAGCAGCUCCACAGAAAAGUCAGCAUGGCAAGGAGCUAAGGCUUUCUGCCGAUAGCCUCUGAGGGACUGAGGCCUCCAGCCAACAGCCACGCAAAUGAGCCAUCAUGGAAUCAGAUCAGCCCAAGUUAAACCUUCAGCUUCUUGGUGAUGGCUUACCUGAAUCAUCAUGACAGACUCAGUCAGAGUCACCUGGCCCUGAAUCCUUGACCCACAGAAACUCUGAGCUAAUAAAUGUGUGUUGUUUUGAGCUGCUAAACAAAAAGAUCUCAGUGACCAGCUGCUGGAGGUGGUCGGCUUGGAAGGAGCCAUGGAGAUGGGGCAAAUAUACACAGGCCUGAAAAGUGCUGGCCGGCGGCUGGCUCAAUGCUCCUGCGUGGUCAUCAGGACGAGCAAGUCUCUGCCAAUGCAAAUUGAUGGGGAGCCAUGGAUGCAGACCCCAUGCACAAUAAAAAUUACACACAAGAACCAAGCCCCAAUGCUGAUGGGCCCGCCUCCAAAAACCGGUUUAUUCUGCUCCCUCGUCAAAA
rnacentral:sRNA from 1 species